AGGUGGUGCAAGGCAGCCGCGGCCGCGACUUGUUGCGUCCGAGGAAAGUCCGAGCACGGCAGGACACGGUGGUGGGUAACACCCACCCGCCCGAUGAUUCGUUUCGCGUCUCGAGGGCGAGGGAAAGUGCCGCAGAAAGCAAACCGCCGAUGGCGAUCCCCGGAUCGCACAGGCAAGGGUGAAAGGGUGCGGUAAGAGCGCACCGCCCGGCUGGUGACAGACGGGGCAAGGCAAACCCCACCGCGUGCAAGAUCAAGCAGCUCUCUCCCGCCUCGGCGGGCUGGCCUGUCCGGUUAGAAAGAGAGCGGGUAGAUCGCUCGGGUUGUCCGAGAGGGCAACCCCCACCGCGUCGGUAACGGCGCGGGAAGAGAAAUGGCUGCCCAUGCCGACCAUCUCGGUGGGAGGCGGGACAGAACUCGGCUUAGCAGCGCCGCCCGAUA
rnacentral:RNase_P_RNA from 1 species